AUUGAACGCUGGCGGCAUGCCUUACACAUGCAAGUCGAACGGCAGCACGGAGCUUGCUCUGGUGGCGAGUGGCGAACGGGUGAGUAAUAUAUCGGAACGUACCCAAGAGUGGGGGAUAACGUAGCGAAAGUUACGCUAAUACCGCAUACGAACUAAGGAUGAAAGUGGGGGAUCGCAAGACCUCAUGCUCCCGGAGCGGCCGAUAUCUGAUUAGCUAGUUGGUGAGGUAAAGGCUCACCAAGGCAUCGAUCAGUAGCUGGUCUGAGAGGACGACCAGCCACACUGGAACUGAGACACGGUCCAGACUCCUACGGGAGGCAGCAGUGGGGAAUUUUGGACAAUGGGGGCAACCCUGAUCCAGCAAUGCCGCGUGAGUGAAGAAGGCCUUCGGGUUGUAAAGCUCUUUUGUCAGGGAAGAAACGGUGAAGGCUAAUAUCCUUUGCUAAUGACGGUACCUGAAGAAUAAGCACCGGCUAACUACGUGCCAGCCGCCGCAGUAA
rnacentral:rRNA from 1 species